AGUGAACGCUGGCGGUAGGCCUAACACAUGCAAGUCGAACGGCAGCACAGUAAGAGCUUGCUCUUACGGGUGGCGAGUGGCGGACGGGUGAGGAAUACAUCGGAAUCUACUUUUUCGUGGGGGAUAACGUAGGGAAACUUACGCUAAUACCGCAUACGACCUACGGGUGAAAGCAGGGGAUCUUCGGACCUUGCGCGAUUGAAUGAGCCGAUGUCGGAUUAGCUAGUUGGCGGGGUAAAGGCCCACCAAGGCGACGAUCCGUAGCUGGUCUGAGAGGAUGAUCAGCCACACUGGAACUGAGACACGGUCCAGACUCCUACGGGAGGAAGCAGGGGGGAAUUUUGGAAAAGGGGCGCAAGCCUGACCCAGCCAUACCGGGGGGGUGAAGAAGGCCUUCGGGUUGUAAAGCCUUUUUGUUGGGAAAAAAAAGAAGCAGGUUAAUCCCCCGCUGUUCUGACGGUACCCAAAAAAUAAGCACCGGCUAACUUCGU
rnacentral:rRNA from 1 species